rnacentral:rRNA from 1 species
CUUUCUUUGCUGGCGACCGGCGCACGGGUGAGUAACACGUAUCCAACCUGCCCUUUACUCGGGGAUAGCCUUUCGAAAGAAAGAUUAAUACCCGAUAGCAUAAUGAUUCCGCAUGGUUUCAUUAUUAAAGGAUUCCGGUAAAGGAUGGGGAUGCGUUCCAUUAGGUUGUUGGUGGGGUAACGGCCCACCAAGCCUUCGAUGGAUAGGGGUUCUGAGAGGAGGGUCCCCCACAUUGGAACUGAGACACGGUCCAA